rnacentral:lncRNA from 1 species
UCCAACUUAUAGAUUGUGAGAAAACCUCCAAAAAUUGCACCAAUGUCACUCAGCCGCCAACUUGAAAAGUGAAGCAAAAAUCCUAGCAAUGAUUUCUCUUUCUCCAACCAUUAACUUUAUCUCAAAAUUGGUGUGUAGCUUGAUCUUUAAGUCUUCCAACACCAUGCCAAUUUUCAUCUUAAUCCAACUAAUAGAACUUUAGAUAUUGUGGAAAUCCUAUCCAACCUCAAACUGC